GAUGAACGCUAGCGGCAGGCUUAAUACAUGCAAGUCGAGGGACAGCACAGGUAGCAAUACUGGGUGGUAACCGGCAAACGGGUGCGGAACACGUACACAACCUUCCUUUAAGUGGGGGAUAGCCCAGAGAAAUUUGGAUUAAUACCCCGUAAUAUAGUUGAAUGGCAUCAUUUGAUUAUUAUAGCUACGGCGCUUAAUGAUGGGUGUGCGGCUGAUUAGAUAGUUGGCGGGGUAACGGCCCACCAAGUCUACGAUCAGUAGCUGAUGUGAGGGCAUGAUCAGCCAAACGGGAACUGCGACACGGGCCCGACUCCUACGGAAGGCAGCAGUAAGGAAUAUUGGUCAAUGAACGCAAGUCUGAACCAGCCAUGCCGCGUGAAGGAUUAAGGUCCUCUGGAUUGUAAACUUCUUUUAUUUGGGACGAAAAAGGGCCUUUCUAGGUCAACUGACGGUACCAGAUGAAUAAGCACCGGCUAACUCCGUGCCAGCCGCCGCGGUAAAAC
rnacentral:rRNA from 1 species